rnacentral:rRNA from 1 species
AUUGAACGCUGGCGGCAGGCCUAACACAUGCAAGUCGAGCGGAGCGGCGGACGGGCGAGUAAUGCCUAGGAAUCUACCUGGUAGAGGGGGAUAACGUCCGGAAGCGGGCGCUAAUACCGCAUACUCUCAGACGAGCCAAGGUCGGAUGAGCUAGUUGGUGGGGUAAAGGCUUACCAAGGCGACGAUCCGUAACUGGUCUGAGAGGAUGAUCAGUCACACUGGAACUGAGACACGGUCCAGACUCCUACGGGAGGCAGCAGUGGGGAAUAUUGGACAAUGGGCGAAAGCCUGAUCCAGCCAUGCCGCGUGUGUGAAGAAGGUCUUCGGAUUGUAAAGCACUUUAAGUUGGGAGGCGUUACCAACAGAAUAAGCACCGGCUAACUUCGUGCCAGCAGCCGCGGUAAUUC